ACACAAGGAAGGAGGUGGUCCGCGAAAUUGAUAGCUUCAUGGACAUGUGAGGUGGCUACGCGCUAGCUGCACUGGCUCGGAAGAGCCGGCGUUCAACGCGCUGGCGAAUCCCACGUAGCCACCCGGCCCCCGAGUUCCGGUCUGUCCAACCGGACAUUCGCUCGGGGGCCGCUCCAU
rnacentral:sRNA from 1 species